UUAAUUAUUAAACCACAAAUUCCGAAAUUCAUUAAAAAGAAAUAGGUAAUAAAAAAGAAUAAAAAAAAUCAAAUAGCAAAAAUGUCAAGCAGUACUUAUCUGAGCUCAAGCUUAAAACAACAUUAGCAUCUUUUGCUAGAGAUGUAUGUAAUUUACAAUGAAUUAUUCGAGUUAAUCAAAUCUAAUUACGAUGUAGAGUAAAAUAAAUAAAUAACCUCUUGAACAUUAAACAACAAAAUACAACAAUGAAUAAUGGAAGUAAUUGCUACAAAUUCACACGGAACUUCUCUUUGCGCACAAAACUCAGAUUCUAACACCAUAUAAGAUACUGGAGGAUACCAUGUAGGAGAGACAUAAUCCUCCGGCACUCUCGUAAAGUAAAUGUAGCACCCGG
rnacentral:lncRNA from 1 species